ensembl:rRNA 5S_rRNA 5S ribosomal RNA
AUCUACGGCCAUACCACCAUGAAUGUGCCUGGUCUUGUCUGAUCUCAGAAGCUAAGCAGGGUCGGGCCUGGUUAGUACUUGGAUUAAAAUGCAGGUGUAUGGAAU